AUGCUCCAAAGCAAGAAAGGUUAUAGCAAGUGCUUAAGAAUUGUGCUUGGGGGUGAAGCUCAAGAUUCUUCAUAUCUCCUUUUGAUUAGCCAUCUCCCUCGACUACUAUGCCUCCUUACCUUAGCCAUGCACCACCUCCAACUCACCCUAUUUAUGGCUUCUGCGCUCUGUUGCCCCCACCUAAUGACCACUAUGGUUAUUCUGGAGUUGCUCUUCUCAAAACUUCUUCUUGUGACAUUGUUGAUCAUCCUGAAUGAGAGCAUGCGAUGGCACAGGAGAUUGCUUCUCUCAAGUGCAUUAGCACGUGGGAUCACAUUUCCCUUCCUUUCCGUGCCCACCCCAUCACAUGCAACUGGGUCUACAAGGUCAAGACUCUAA
rnacentral:rRNA from 1 species